UACGACUACAUAUCAGGCAUAUCAAUAAGCGGAGGAAAAGAAACUAACAAGGAUUCCCUUAGUAACGGCGAGUGAAGCGGGAAGAGCUCAAAUUUGAAAUCUUCAAGGUUUUACCUUGACGAAUUGUAGUUUAAAGAAGUGUUUUCUGUUGGAGUUUCGGUAAAAGUUCUUUGGAAUAGGACAUCAUAGAGGGUGAGAAUCCCGUAUUUGGUCAUUCCUCCUAGCGUUGUGAUACACUUUCAACGAGUCGGAUUGUUUGGGAAUGCAGUCCAAAAUGGGUGGUAAAUUUCAUCUAAAGCUAAAUAUUGGCGAGAGACCGAUAGCGAACAAGUACCGUGAGGGAAAGAUGAAAAGAACUUUGAAAAGAGAGUUAAACAGUACGUGAAAUUGUCAAAAGGGAAGCGUUUGACACCAGUGUUGUUUUUCCGAAAAUCAAUUACGAAUGUUUUGUUUUUAAGAAGUUAUGACUUCAUCGGCUUGCUUCUUUCUUUACGAAACUUUCUUAAUGCACUUUUCGGUUAACAAGUCAACAUCAAUUUCUUUUGUUGUAAAAGGGUAUGAGGAAGGUGGCUUUCUUUUCGGAGAAAGUGUUUAUAGCCUUGUGCCUCUGCAAUCGGAGAGAUUGAGGUCUGCAGCGUAGAUCCUUCGGGGUUAGAUACAUUUGUGCUAAGUUAUAGCAUUUCAUAGACAACUUGUUGACUAUGUUUAGUCUUGUAGCUUACUCGCUUAUGCUAUUUUACCUACGCUUAGGAUGUUGAAUCUGUGCGAGACUAC
rnacentral:rRNA from 1 species